rnacentral:lncRNA from 1 species
GUUAAGAAGAUCCCGUGCGAUGCAGCGGGAAGAUAAUAGAACAGUAAAUUAUUAUAACUAUUAACAUUACCUUUUUUUUCUAAUAUGCAGUAAUAUUUUUAAAUAUUAUUUGUCUCAGUAUUGAAUAAUAAAAAAAUUAAAAAUAAAUUAAAGAAUGAAUUUAAAUUAGAUUUUUUUCUAAAAAUAUUUAAAUCUAAUAAGUAAAAUAAAUAAAUUAGUAUAAAAUAAAAUAAAAUAUCAGUAGGUAAUACAACUAAUAAAGUAUAGAUUAGUGAAAAAAUCAGUAGAUAAUUAUCAGAAGCACAAAAAAUAAGACUAAUUAAAAGACAUUCGAAAUCAAAACAGAUAUUUUUUAUAUUGUAAAAGAAUUCAACUACCAAAUAAAUAAUCUAAUAUUAUUAUAUUAUUAUUAUAUAAAUUAUUUUAAAAAAAAAUUGUGUGAACCCCACAACCCUCCAAAAUGAGAAGAGGUCUUCUUUAGUGUUGCCAAUUCAUAAAUGCAUGUUUUGGGAAAUAAAGUGAAAAGCAUGCAAAAUUUAGGAAUCAAAAUUGGCAUGCAAAAAAAAAUUAAAUAGGCGAUGGUAUGAUAAUUUCGCUAAUUCUAAAAUAAUUUUUAACAGUUGCUAUUUUAUCGCGAUGAAAUUAAGAGGUUUGAAAAUAUUUAGGAACAAAAAAAAAUGGUGGAAAGGUUGGGAAGCGCUAUACAAUUAAUCCUAAAAAAAAUCAUAAAAAAAUUUGUGGGCCACACAACCCUCUAAAAUAAGGGAAGGUUUUUUUUGGGUUCCUAAUUGGAUAAAAUUUUAAUUUUGUUAUCUUGACUAUUAAAAAAAAGGAUUUCUCUAUGCGAUAAAAUUUUAUACUUAAUGAAGAAAAAAAUAAAAAAAAAGAUGUUAUAUUUAUUAGCUGAAAUUUUAAUUUUUUUAUAUUGACUAUUAAAAAAUAGGGUUGACUAAUGCGAUAAAAUUUUACACUUGCUAUAAGCAAAAAUAAAAAAAAAAAGUUGUUGACAAAAAAAAAAGAAAGAAAGUGAAAGAGACAGAGAGAGAGAGAGAGAGAGAGAGAGAGAGAGAGUCAGAAAGAGGAAAAAAAAAAAAGUGGGCCCCACCGAAAGCCCGCACAAACCCGGGGAGGCUUCCAUUGGGUUCCCAAAUAAUAUAUACUAGUGAAGGCCCGCGCUACGCUGCGGGAAGUUUAUAUAAAUUUAGUAUAAUAAAUAAAAUAAUGUGAAUCAUGAAUAGAUGUCGUAUUAAAAUAUAAAUCAGAAUUCAGAAACGUAUUAAAAUAUGAAUCAGAAUUCAGAAUUUAUAUAAAAGGUAACUUAUAUGAAUUAAAGUAGAAUUCUGUUAAGCAAUUCAGGAUUCAGCUGGUUAUUUCAGGACUCCAUGAAGAAUCCAGAGCCAAGUCGAAAGUUGGUCCAGUUUAGGCCAAGAAACCAGCAUUGAAUCAUCUUUGAUCAACAUAGAAAGUAGAGCUAUUGACUUGAAAUCCCAUUUCAAAAGAAUGAUUUAGUAAAGGCAGCAGCAAUUGAAAGAAUCUGACAUCCAAAGGAACAAUCAAUAAUAAGAUCAAAAAAAUAAACCGAAAUUAGCAUGAGGUGGAGUUACUUUGAAGAACUCAUAGAAGAGAUCAUUGAAAAAGGCAAUUGGGGCAUGGAAAGCUUCAGUUUUACAGCAGCUACACCUGACAUUUCUUAUCCAGAACUUACUAAAUAUCAACAGCGACCUAGUAUUUGAAAGGGGAAAAAAAACGUGAUGACCGAAUUAAUCUCAAGAUUUGAAUGUUCG